rnacentral:rRNA from 1 species
UACGUAGGGUGCAAGCGUUGUCCGGAAUUAUUGGGCGUAAAGAGCUCGUAGGCGGUCUGUCGCGUCUGCUGUGAAAACUCAGGGCUUAACCCUAAGCUUGCAGUGGGUACGGGCAGACUAGAGUGCGGUAGGGGAGACUGGAAUUCCUGGUGUAGCGGUGAAAUGCGCAGAUAUCAGGAGGAACACCGGUGGCGAAGGCGGAUCUCUGGGCCUUACCUGACGCUCAGGCGCGAAAGCUAGGGGAGCGAACAGG